AUUGAACGCUGGCGGCAUGCCUUACACAUGCAAGUCGAACGGUAACAGGUCUUCGGAUGCUGACGAGUGGCGAACGGGUGAGUAAUACAUCGGAACGUGCCUAGUAGUGGGGGAUAACUACUCGAAAGAGUGGCUAAUACCGCAUGAGAUCUACGGAUGAAAGCAGGGGAUCGCAAGACCUUGUGCUACUAGAGCGGCCGAUGGCAGAUUAGGUAGUUGGUGGGAUAAAAGCUUACCAAGCCGACGAUCUGUAGCUGGUCUGAGAGGACGAUCAGCCACACUGGGACUGAGACACGGCCCAGACUCCUACGGGAGGCAGCAGUGGGGAAUUUUGGACAAUGGGCGCAAGCCUGAUCCAGCAAUGCCGCGUGCAGGAUGAAGGCCUUCGGGUUGUAAACUGCUUUUGUACGGAACGAAAAGCCCUGGGUUAAUACCCUGGGGUCAUGACGGUACCGUAAGGAUAAGCACCGGCUAACUACAUGCCAGCAGCCGCCGCCGUAA
rnacentral:rRNA from 1 species